ACCACAUUGACAUGUUAGUAAGUUAAUCUUUUUUGUAUUUAAGAUCAGUGUACGUUAAAUGAAAGAGAAGAAGAGAAAAUUGUAGUAAAUUGUGUUUUGUUUUAUUAGUUUGUUUUUUACAAACUAUCUUAGCUUUAAGGAGGGACAUUAAUUGGUAUCAAAACAACUUGUGUUAUAAGGUAUCAAAGGGGUGAUUAGGUUCACUCUUAACAAUUGGUAUCAGAGCAUUGAUUUGAAUAUCUUAUGUGUUACGGAUUUAUAAUUCUAUCCUAUAAAGCUUCCGCUACAUUGAUCUAGGUUUUGGGAAUAUGAUUUGAUUAAUAAAAGUUAAGAGAUUUCCCUUUAAUCCUUGUUUUCGGCUAGAUCAUUGGUGUUCUCAACGAAUUUAAAAAGACAUUGAUCAUAGGUAUUCUUUGACUAAAUAAGAUCUUUGU
rnacentral:lncRNA from 1 species